rnacentral:rRNA from 1 species
UACAGAGGGGGCAAGCGUUAUUCGGAAUUAUUGGGCGUAAAGCGCACGUAGGCGGCAUUGCAAGUCGGAUGUGAAAUCCCUCGGCUUAACCAAGGAAGUGCAUCCGAAACUGCAGUGCUUGAGUACUUAAGAGGAUCGCGGAAUUCCCGGUGUAGCGGUGAAAUGCGCAGAUAUCGGGAGGAACACCGGUGGCGAAGGCGGCUCUCUGGGCCUGUCCUGACGCUCAGGCGCGAAAGCUAGGGGAGCAAACAGG